UGGGGAUUUGAGCGAUCUCCCCACGAGGCGACAUGCCCAAGUAUCGC
rnacentral:ncRNA from 9 species